AGUGAACGCUGGCGGUAGGCCUAACACAUGCCAGUCGAACGGCAGCACAGUAAGAGCUUGCUCUUACGGGUGGCGAGUGGCGGGCGGGUGAGGAAUACAUCGGAAUCUACUUUUUCGUGGGGGAUAACGUAGGGAAACUUACGCUAAUACCGCAUACGACCUACGGGUGUAAGGAGGGGAUCUUCUGACCUUUCGCGGUUGAAUUAGCCGAUGUCGGAUUAGCUAGUUGGGUGGGUAAAUGCCCACCAAGGCGACGAUACGUUGCUGGUCUGAGAGGAUGGUCGGCCACCCUGGAGCUGGGACAAGCUCCAGGCUCCUGAGGGAGGCCGCAGUGGGGAAUAUUGGACAAUGGGGGCAAACCUGAUCCAGACAUAACGAGUGGGUGGAGGAGGCCCUCCGGUUGUAAAGCCCUUUUGUUGGGAAAGAAAAGCAGCAGGUUAAUACGCCGCUGUUCUGACGGUACCCAAAGAAUAAGCACCGGCUAACUUCGUG
rnacentral:rRNA from 1 species